AUUGAACGCUGGCGGCAUGCUUUACACAUGCAAGUCGAACGGUAACAGGCCGCAAGGUGCUGACGAGUGGCGAACAGGUGAGUAAUGCAUCGGAACGUGCCCAGUCGUGGGGGAUAACGCAGCGAAAGCUGCGCUAAUACCGCAUACGAUCUAUGGAUGAAAGCGGGGGACCGUAAGGCCUCGCGCGAUUGGAGCGGCCGAUGUCAGAUUAGGUAGUUGGUGGGGUAAAGGCUCACCAAGCCGACGAUCUGUAGCUGGUCUGAGAGGACGACCAGCCACACUGGGACUGAGACACGGCCCAGACUCCUACGGGAGGCAGCAGUGGGGAAUUUUGGACAAUGGGGGCAACCCUGAUCCAGCAAUGCCGCGUGCAGGAAGAAGGCCUUCGGGUUGUAAACUGCUUUUGUACGGAACGAAACGGCUCUGGUUAAUACCCGGGGCUAAUGACGGUACCGUAAGAAUAAGCACCGGCUAACUGCGUGCCAGCCGCCGCAGUAA
rnacentral:rRNA from 1 species